GUGGGCAUAGAAAUUGCAGUUGAGUUAAUUUUUGGGUAUAGUAAUCUCUUGGGAAUCAACUCAGAAGCGCAUUUACUGAGUAAAUAAAAAUCUUUGAAGAUGUUUACUUAUAGAAAAUUGCAGUUAAAUUGUAUAUCUGAUCAGCAUGCCAAUUAUUUCAUGUAUUAAAUCAAGAUCCUCUUGCCUUCAGGUGGCUAAUGGACCACAUGAGUCAGCUUGGGUUCUUCAAGUCAUUGUCACAUUGGAUAGGCAGCAACCUCAAAAAAUCAGGAGAACAUGAGACAUGGGCUUUUAAUCUUGAAGGUGCGCUCCAAAUGUUCAAUUCUUACAGGGAGACCGAUUAUUGGCCUUUGCUGGAGCACCCACCUAAAGAGAUGGAGGUAGCUAUUGUGUGUGCUGAAAAGAGCGACAGGUGAUGUAGAUGUGAUUCAGAGGCUUGAACACCUUGCCAGUUGGAGGUCUGGUGCAUCUGAGGGGAAGGUAUCAGUUCAUGUGCUUCCCAACUCUGGCCAUUGGGUUCAUGUGGACAAUCCUAAGGGACUUUUGGAGAUUGUGGCUCCCAGAAUUGCUUCCAUAGCUUAAUUAGGUUCCACUUUGAAUCUAAGACAUUGGUGAUUUUUAGUAACAUUACGGCCUGUUAGGUUGUGUUUUCGUUUUUUAUAUUUUGUUUUCAAAUUAAAAAAUAAAUAAAUAA